GGCGAACGCUGGCGGCGUGCUUAACACAUGCAAGUCGAACGGAAAGGCCCUGCUUUUGUGGGGUGCUCGAGUGGCGAACGGGUGCGUAACACGUGAGUAACCUGCCCUUGACUUUGGGAUAACUUCAGGAAACUGGGGCUAAUACCGGAUAGCAUCUCCUGCUGCGUGGUGGGGGUUGGAAAGUUUCGGCGGUUGGGGAUGGACUCGCGGCUUAUCAGCUUGUUGGUGGGGUAGUGGCUUACCAAGGCUUUGACGGGUAGCCGGCCUGAGAGGGUGACCGGCCACAUUGGGACUGAGAUACGGCCCAGACUCCUACGGGAGGCAGCAGUGGGGAAUAUUGCACAAUGGGCGGAAGCCUGAUGCAGCAACGCCGCGUGCGGGAUGACGGCCUUCGGGUUGUAAACCGCUUUCGCCUGUGACGAAGCGUGAGUGACGGUAAUGGGUAAAGAAGCACCGGCUAACUACGUG
rnacentral:rRNA from 1 species